GAAAUCAAUAAAACCCGCUUGCUCAAGGUCAAUGAACCACAUGCGAUGACCAUCACGCUGAAUACCCGGAAUAUCACGAAUCAAAUGAUUAAUCAGCGAUGGAAUAGGCAACAUAUUAAUCACUUCAAAACCUACUCGACCAAUACGGCGAACAGCCCAAUUCGAUAAUGUUCCACCAUGACGUAUUUGCACAUCCAGACUUUCAUCCAUUUGGCGUAAGCGCAAGAACUUUUCUUGUCCAAUGCGGCAUUCCAAUACUCGAAAAUCUAAACUUAGGCGAUAUAGGAAACGGUGAUAGUGUCCAUCGAUUUCAACCUGAAACCGAUCAUUGCCACAUUGAACUUUAAUAUCAUCAAUUUCAGAACGAUCUAUGCGUUUACGAAUUUGACUGUUUAAUAGCAUUUCAGGCAAAUACAAAUUCAAGGUACUUUUACCUAGAAAAGUACGUGCCAUGAUUAAGGCAACCUGUCUUGCAGUUUCACUUGUUUCAGACACCAUAUCUCUGACAGUCCCUGCUGCCAGAUUGGUCAUGCCCACCACUCCACGCUUUGUAUGAGAGGUCACUUGAUCUAAAGCAUCUAGGGCUGCAUCAGCAACUUCAGCAAGAUUACGUGUAGUAUCACUAGCAAACCCGACGGCAUCUUGUGCAUGCUGUAAUGUUUUAUGCAGCAAACGGCGUGAGAAUGACAGUUUUAUAGGGUCAGGAUUCCCUGAAACUGUUGAUGUCGUUGUAGGCUUCGACUUAUUGUCAUCUUCUUGACCCAAGUCCCUCUCCUUUUUAUAUUUCUUUCACAUCCUAUUAAUGAGCAUUUCAGCUCAUUUCCAGUGUUGGACACACUUGGUUUUUAUCUAGAUUAGCAUGCUCUACAGUAUUAUUUUAAUUUUUAUGUGUACGCAUAAAUCAUCGUUUUUUUAUAUAUCCUUGUUUCAAAAAAGUAUUUUAUAUCGGAUAUUCACCUCAACUUUUUAAUCAGCUACAAAUUUUUUUCUUUCUUUGUAUUUCCGUUAGAAUAGAUUCAAACUUAAUGUGGAGCUGUCAUGCAAUAUCGUUGCCCUCAAUGUCAAAGUGUUAAAAUUAUGCCGGUGAGCCAAGGUGUUAAUAGUGCUAAACCUGUUGUGCCUAAAAGCUUAGUGAUUUUAGUUCCUGCCAUUUUUGUACUUUUACUCUUGGUUGUGAUUAGUAUUUUUAUGUGGAUUUUUGGCAAUGGUGCAGGCAGCUCUCUUCAAAUUGCAACAGUAGUUGCAUUUGUGGUUACUGUAGGUGCAGGUUUUAUGUUCUGGCGCGAUCUGCCUGAUUUUAAAUUGUCUAUGCAAGCAUUUAUGCAGUCACAAAAACAUUGGAAAUGUCGUGACUGCAAUCAUGAGUGGGAAAUUUAAAACUAUAUUCACAUCAGCUUAAUGCUGAUGUGAAUGCGUCUUGUCAUUAUCGUUAUGUUCGUGUGAAGCAUGUUGAGCAAUAUGCUGACAGUUGAUCUCAGCAUCAUCUUCAAUUUGCA
rnacentral:rRNA from 1 species